GUAUGUGGAUGAUGAGAACAUAAAUCCAUACAGUUAUCCCUGUCUGAGUGCAAUUGGGUGCUGAUAGAUCUUGAUCUGACACAAUC